rnacentral:tRNA from 1 species
GCGGGCGUAAUUCAGCGGUAGAAUGUCAGCUUCCCAAGCUGAAAGUCGCCGGUCCGAAUCCGGUCGCCCGCU